rnacentral:snoRNA from 1 species
CCGAUACAUGGGCUUAUGCUCCUGGUUUACCAUUGAGCAGAAUGUCCAUAGCAACGUGGGAGCUGCCCAUCAUGCAGUAUGGUCCUUGUUGCAGUAUCGGAGAGCAGCUCUGCCGCUUAGGUAGGUGUGUGGAGGAAUGGCAUAUUCCAUGACCUUUCUGUAGUCCAUUGGGCGAUGAUAUAAAAGAAAAACCAUGCCAGUUACAUGA